UACAGAGGAGCCAAGCGUUGUCCGGGUUGACUGGGCGUAAAGAGCUCGUAGGCGGUCUGUCGCGUCGGUCGUGAAAACUUGGGGCUUAACCCUGAGCUUGCGGUCGAUACGGGCAUGACUGGAGUUCGGCAGGGGAGACUGGAAUUCCUGGUGUAGCGGUGAAAUGCGCAGAUAUCAGGAGGAACACCUAUGGCGAAGGCAGCUCUCUGGGACGGUACUGACGCUGAGACGCGAAAGCGUGGGGAGCGAACAGG
rnacentral:rRNA from 1 species